rnacentral:lncRNA from 1 species
GCCAUGUUGGUAAUUGGAUAGUUGUCCCCUGAAAUUCCUCUCUGGUGGAGAAAGACUUGAGAGUACCUCUUUGCAGACAUCCGCUGCCCCAUGCCAAGGGCGUGGGACGCUGACCUCUGAUGCCAGAGUCUUGACAGGGCCAGGGUGUGCCUGGGGGGGCCUCUCAGAGCCCCAGUUGCUCUUCAGUCCCUUCUCUUGGAGUCCUCUUCCCAGUGUAAUGCCGCACACCCUCUCAGGACUCUGCCAGCAACAGCCCAUCACCCUGCCGUGGCUGCUGCUUGCUGAGGACUGGUCAUGGACCAGGCAUUGGGAGGGACCCAUUAUGUACGUAGCUGAAUCCUCUCAACAGUCCUGAAAGGAAGGGAGUUAGAACUCCAUUCUAUAAAGGAGGAAACUAAGGUUUCCAAAGAUCCACAGCCAGUGGUGAGGAGGGGAUCCUUGCCCAGGAAGGCAAAUGGACCAUCUCCAUGCUGCUCUUUCACUGCCCAUGGAAGCCUAUGAACUAAGGCCUUGAGGCAGGAGCACAACUUUGUUAGCAUUUGUGGAAGACUAAAGAAAGCUGAAAAUUCUCUCACACUGCUUCCAUCAAGAGGAAGAGGAAGAAAUACCAAGGGGAAGAGUGCAGAAAAGGAAGGUCAUGUGAAGACACAGGAGGAAGACGGCCAUAUACGAGCCAGGGAGAGUGGCCUCAGAAGACAACAACCCUGCUGACACCUUACUCUUGGACUUCCGCCUUCCAGAACUGUGAGACAACAAAUUCUGUUAAGACGCCCACUCUGUGGUACUUCGUUAUGGCAUCCUGAGCAGACCAGUACAGUGAUCUACCGCUAGUUACUUCCGGUCGUUGGUGGCAGAGCUGAGACUGGAUCCCAGGAGUUCCGGCUCCUGGCUCACUUCCUGCUGCUUCAGGCCACUUUCCCUCCUGCUUGACUGUGGUGCAGUGGUUAUGGAUUCCCUGGAUUCUAAUCUCAGGCUCCAUCAAUCUCUAGCUAUGCAAUCUUGGCAAGUUACUUGUAUUUACACAGGAUGCUUGUAAUUAUAGUAUCUUCCCAUGCUGCAGUGCGGAUCAAAUGAGUUACCACGCAGGAGGUGCUCGGAGUGGAGUAAUUGGUCAGUGAAUCUCAGGUAUUGCUUCCCAACUCUGUAGCCCAGACUGAGAGAGAACAAAGGGAGUUUUCUAGCGAAACCCCUGAGAGCCUUCUCCUGAAUGUCGACAGCUUAAAAAAUAAAUAAAGGGAAGGGGAAAAUGAGGUACAAGAUCACCAAUGCAAAAACUGCACACAAAGGAGAGAGUCUCUUUCCUCGUGGAAAGUGUUAAAUGUUGCAGCAAAAUCUCUCUGCUACAUCAGCUAUAGAAUCUGUAAUCAUUUGCAAAGCAGAAACUAUUAUUCAUCAAUGUCGCUGUCAUCAAAUAAAAUGUAAGUGCCUACAGAGACACAGUGUGGUCUAAGGAGGCUUGCAAACAACCUGUAAUUGGUAC